rnacentral:rRNA from 1 species
UACGGGGGGGGCGAGCGUUGUUCGGAAUCACUGGGCGUAAAGGGCGCGUAGGCGGCCCGCACAAGUCUGCGGUGAAAACCCCCGGCUUAACCGGGGGCCGGCCGUGGAAACUGUCGGGCUGGAGGCUGGGAGAGGGCAGCGGAAUUCCCGGUGUAGCGGUGAGAUGCGUAGAGAUCGGGAGGAACACCGGCGGCGAAGGCGGCUGCCUGGACCAGUCCUGACGCUGAGGCGCGAAAGCUAGGGGAGCAAACAGG